rnacentral:rRNA from 1 species
UGGCGUUCGCAGCUACCAUGCAGUCGUGGGGCAGCAUAAGGGUAGCAAUACUCUGGUGGCGACCGGCAAACGGGUGCGGAACACGUACGCAACCUUCCUCAAAGCGGGGGAUAGCCUCUCGAAAGAGAGAUUAAUACCCCAUAGUAUCUUGAAACUGCAUGGUUUUAAGAUUAAAGCUCCGGCACUUUGAGAUGGGCGUGCGGCUGAUUAGGUAGUUGGUAGGGUAACGGCCUACCAAGCCAACGAUCAGUAGCUGAUGUGAGAGCAUGAUCAGCCACACGGGCACUGAGACACGGGCCCGACUCCUACGGGAGGCAGCAGUGAGGAAUAUUGGUCAAUGGAGGCAACUCUGAACCAGCCAUGCCGCGUGAAGGAUGAAGGUCCUCUGGAUUGUAAACUUCUUUUAUUGGGGAAGAAACCCGCGUUUUCUAAUGCGGUUGACGGUACCCAAGGAAUAAGCACCGGCUAACUCCGUGCCAGCAGCCGCGGUAAUACGGAGGGUGCGAGCGUUAUCCGGAUUCACUGGGUUUAAAGGGUGCGUAGGUGGGUUGGUAAGUCAGUGGUGAAAUCCUCGAGCUUAACUCGAGAACUGCCGUUGAUACUACCAGUCUUGAAUUCUGUGGAGGUAAGCGGAAUAUGUCAUGUAGCGGUGAAAUGCUUAGAUAUGACAUAGAACACCGAUAGCGAAGGCAGCUUACUACGCAGAUAUUGACACUGAGGCACGAAAGCGUGGGGAUCAAACAGGAUUAGAUACCCUGGUAGUCCACGCCCUAAACGAUGGAUACUCGACAUCAGCGAUACACAGUUGGUGUCUGAGCGAAAGCAUUAAGUAUCCCACCUGGGAAGUACGUCCGCAAGGAUGAAACUCAAAGGAAUUGACGGAAUC